UCGAACCCGUACGAUCGCUGAAGAUAAGCAACUUCGAGCCUGGUCAAUAUCUAGAUGGGUGACCGCUUGGGAAUACCAGGUGCUGUAA